rnacentral:rRNA from 1 species
GACGAACGCUGGCGGCGUGCCUAAUACAUGCAAGUAGAACGCACAGUUUAUACCGUAGCUUGCUACACCAUAGACUGUGAGUUGCGAACGGGGGAGUAACGCGUAGGUAACCUGCCUGGUAGCGGGGGAUAACUAUUGGAAACGAUAGCUAAUACCGCAUAAUAUUAAUUAUUGCAUGAUAAUUAAUUGAAAGGUGCAAUUGCACCACUACCAGAUGGACCUGCGUUGUAUUAGCUAGUAGGUGAGGUAACGGCUCACCUAGGCGACGAUACAUAGCCGAGCUGGGAGGGUGAUCGGCCACACUGGGACUGAGACCCGGCCCAGACUCCUACGGGAGGGAGCAGUAGGGAAUCUUCGGCAAUGGACGAAAGUCUGACCGAGCAACGCCGCGUGAGUGGAGAAGGUUUUCGGAUCGUAAAGCUCUGUUGUAAGAGAAGAACGGGUGUGAGAGUGGAAAGUUCACACUGUGACGGUAUCUUACCAGAAAGGGACGGCUAACUACGUG